GGGGUGGAAAAAAAAAAAAACCCUAACAAAAACAAAAUAAUCAAAUGGGCUAUUCGCUGUGAACUCCGUCGUUACUGUGGUAGACUUUCAAUGCUCGUCAUCGAUAAUUUUUUAGGACGCUUCAGCUGCUGCUGGAUUCCUUGAAGACUCGGGAUAAUUUUUAUGUAGUUCUGAAGGUCCCCGUAACUAUUAUGCAAGCGAUCAUCAGCGCAAAGUUUAAUUCAGGAAUGUACACUUGCCCUUCAUACUUAGCAGAAGUGUGGAUAACCUUCACUCUUGGGAAGCAACCUAGAGUUUGGGCCUGUGCUAUGAUUGAAAAUACACAAGAUAUCACAGCUUGACUUGCAAUGAUGGCAGCGGCAACAGCUACUACAAAUGUCGGCCAGAAUAGUGGACCUGCAAUGAAGGAAGUCAAUUUAACUCACCAGAGAUGCAUGGAGUUAAGACACCGUCACCCAUGAUCAUGGAUGUACCUAAAAUUGUUAGAAAAAUAAG